rnacentral:rRNA from 1 species
CAGUAGCCGCGGUAAUACGUAGGUGGCAAGCGUUGUCCGGAAUUAUUGGGCGUAAAGGGCUCGCAGGCGGUUUCUUAAGUCUGAUGUGAAAGCCCCCGGCUCAACCGGGGAGGGUCAUUGGUAACUGGGAAACUUGAGUGCAGAAGAGGAGAGUGGAAUUCCACGUGUAGCGGUGAAAUGCGUAGAGAUGUGGAGGAACACCAGUGGCGAAGGCGACUCUCUGGUCUGUAACUGACGCUGAGGAGCGAAAGCGUGGGGAGCGAACAGGAUUAGAUACCCCCGUAGUCCCUGUCUCUUAUAC